GAAAUUUAUGAUCAUACUCACAAAAGAAAGAAUGGAGAAUAUAUUUUUGAGAAAGCAAAAUCAAUGAUUAAAAACUAUGUGCAAUAGAGCCAAGAAAAAUAUGGUGAUGAUCCAUCCUCUCAACCAAUGAUGGAUGGACAGUUAUGGUUGGAAGCAACUGGAGGGUCUAAGAAUGGAAAAGUUACUGGGUUUGGAAAUAGCCUGAACAAGAAUUUAGUCUUGCCCUCUUGUGCCUCCUCAUCAUUUGUGCCUUCUUCACGUCCUUCAACUCAAGAGUCCAACUCAGAUUGCACUUUAUGUAGUGCAUUUCAAGCAGAAGUUAGAAAUGAGCUUCGAGAGUUUCGAAGUAUAUUUCAGGAGUUUAUGAUGUCAAUGAGAGCUUUGACUCCUAAUCCACCGUCACCUCCACGGGAGCCCGUAUCGCAUGCACCCCGACAUCAACGUGAUGAAGACGAGGCUUUUAAUAAAAACACGGGGGAAGAUGAUUGAAAUACAAUAGUAUUAAUGACUUGGAUGGAAAGAAUAUUAUAUAUGUUAUGGAUUUGGUUUUGAAUAUUAUUUAUUAGACGUGUUUUAAUUGUCAAUAUAAUUUUAUGUGCUUGGUUUUGAAAUAU